rnacentral:rRNA from 1 species
GCUUACGGCCAUACCACCCUGAACACGCCCGAUCUCUCCGAUCUCGGAAGCUAAGCAGGGUCGGCCUGGUUAGUACUUGGAUGGGAGACCGCCUGGGAAUACCAGGUGCUGUAAGCU